UCUGCUGAGAUGUAUGUUAUUUUUUUUUUUGCAAUGUAAAUGCGGGGAUCAUAAAAUCAUGCAAGCCUGCAUUCUUUUGCGCGUAAAUCAACAAUUUAUGCGGCGAAAGUGCAGCAUAUUUGAAAAAAUGUAUCUCCAGCAUAAAUAUGCAGACUUUGGCUGAUUAUGCAUUGAAUUAUGCGAUUGCAUGAUCACGUUUUUCUGGAGUGACUGAUAAAAAACCUACUACUA